UACGGAGGGUGCGAGCGUUGUCCGGAAUCACUGGGCGUAAAGGGCGCGUAGGUGGUCUGCUAAGCGUGCGGUGAAAGCCUGGGGCUCAACCCCAGGUCUGCCGUGCGAACUGGUGGACUUGAGCACUGUAGAGGCAGGUGGAAUUCCGGGUGUAGCGGUGGAAUGCGUAGAGAUCCGGAAGAACACCGGUGGCGAAGGCGGCCUGCUGGGCAGUAGCUGACACUGAGGCGCGACAGCGUGGGGAGCAAACAGG
rnacentral:rRNA from 1 species